UACAGAGACUGCAAGCGUUAUUCGGAUUCACUGGGCGUAAAGGGUGCGCAGGCGGCCAAGUGUGUGAGGCGUGAAAGCCCGGGGCUUAACCCCGGAAUUGCACCUCAAACUACAUGGCUAGAGCAUUGGAGAGGGUAGCAGAAUUCAUGGUGUAGCAGUGAAAUGCGUAGAUAUCAUGAGGAAUACCGGAGGCGAAGGCGGCUACCUGGACAAUUGCUGACGCUCAGGCACGAAAGCGUGGGGAGCAAAAGGG
rnacentral:rRNA from 1 species